rnacentral:tRNA from 1 species
GCGCAGGUGGCAGAGCGGCCAAUUGCAUCAGACUGUAAAUCUGACGCCCUUUGGGCUACGGGGGUUCGAAUCCCUCCCUGCGCA